CUGAAACCUGAGCUUUCACCUUUGCAAGCUUGCUAACCUCUUCAGGAUGAUCAACACAGUACUGCAUAUGUUCUUUCAAUUUUGACCCAAAUUCCUUGUUUAGACUGUUGGCAGGAGCCGUGGAAGCCUUUCCCCCUCCAUAUUUCGACACAAAAUCAUCCUUAAUACGCUCCAAAAAUGCAAUAGGCACUUGCCUUCCUGCUGAUUCAGUUGCAACUACACAGUAUGUGUAACCGUUGUCAACGAGAUAGUUGAAGGUGUGGCCAUCGCAAUUGUAGGUGAAUUUGUUAUUGGCAGUGGGCAAUUUCUGGAGGCAUUGAAAAGCAAUGGAAUUGAAAUUCCCACUGUAUUCGGUGUACUCAGCGAGAAUCACGGUUCCACGAGCGACGAAAGCGUAGAUCAAAGACUUCUGCGCCAUCUGAAAGAAUGAAGCAAAAAUCUAGGGCUUGGAAUGAAUGAAUAAAGGGUCGAAAAGGGAAGUCCACAGGGUUUCAAGAGGUAAAAGAGAGGAAACCCAGAUCGGGAAAAUCAAACCCCUGCUCUCUGGACUCGGAAUUUGGGGAUGCAAAACGGAAGAAGAGUCAAGAGAGAAGGGAAAAAGCAAGGGAAGGAGGAAUCAAAGAAGAAAUGGGGGUUUUAUGAAGGUUAAAAAGCAAAAGAGAAACUGGCAAAAGAAGAGAGAG
rnacentral:misc_RNA from 1 species